UACGGGGGGUGCAAGCGUUAUUCGGAAUCAUUGGGCGUAAAGGGCGCGUAGGCGGCCCCUUAAGUCAGAUGUGAAAGCCCUCAGCUUAACUGAGGAAGUGCAUUUGAAACUAAGGGGCUUGAGUAUGGGAGAGGAAAGCGGAAUUCCUGGUGUAGCGGUGAAAUGCGUAGAUAUCAGGAGGAACACCGGUGGCGAAGGCGGCUUCCUGGACCAAUACUGACGCUGAGGCGCGAAGGCGUGGGGAGCAAACAGG
rnacentral:rRNA from 1 species